rnacentral:lncRNA from 1 species
AAUAACCAAAUAUGAUACUCGGGCUAAGGGUCAAGUUGGUAAUUUUUCUUACACCUCCUCCUCCCGGAGCCCAAGUAUGAUAUU